GAGUCAUGCUCAAUUGUUCCUUGACUCUGACCAACCAUGCAUCGUCGUCUCUAGGCAGCGAUAACACGGAGGGUACCAACAAUUGGGCUCAAUCCCGCAUGAAUGAAGGUGAUGCACCUUGGGAAGAUGGGUGUGUUUUGUUGGAACUCUGGAUUCCUCCGUUCCAAAGUAAUCCAAAGCAAUCUAAAGCAAUCGAUGCUCAUAUGCAUAUGUCUAUACACAAAGCAGCUGGGAUGAAAUGCGUGCACGCCAAUCAAGCACUCACUCAGUCACCGGGAGCUGAGUCACAAGGUGACGACUGGCGCGAUUCGAGACUCGAGAGCGAGUCUCCCUCGAUCAACGAACCGGGAUGAAUGGUGUUGCCGAUGUUGGGACGGAGACACUGCCACUCCUACUACCACCGCGAGCAACACCACCACCACCGAGGUGCCGAGUCCACGGCGUACAUUUAUAAAUAGCUAUAAGUAGCAAGCCCAGGUGGAAGAAAGUUAGGAAGAACAACGGAUGUCGUUAGAGUCAACAGAGUCAACCAUGACAGGAAAAUGCUUGUGGGUCCUCAGUGAAGGCAGGAACGUCGUCGUCGUUGUUGGUGUUGGUGUUGUGGCCGUCGUGGUCGUCGUGAACGCGUACGGCAUGCGAACAUCCAGUCGCUCUCGUACUUCUUCUUGUUUGUUGUUCCUGAGCUCAAGGGCCAACGAGAGCUCACAUGGACCAGCAGCACCUAGGCGGAUUCGAACACCACCACCUUUGGACUCCUCGGUUGUCGGGAAAAACGGAUGGGGGAAGGAGAUGAAGAGGGAUAACGAUAAUGAGCGAGGAACGAAGUGCACAGAGAGCUUGGGUUUCAGCCAGCAAAUAUUAGAACUUGGACGGACGGACAGGGGAGGCCACAGGAGGGACUCCCAUCUCGUAGCUGAUGAUAUUGUCUUGCCUUCCUCUGAACUUCCGCUCUUGCCUCUUGCCUCGAUUUUUUUUCAUGCACCAGCAAAACAAGAGUCGUUUGAAACCGGAAUAAGGGAUGGUAGGUAGCCUCAAUAACGGCAAAACAAGUUGUUGAACGGAAAGGAUCUGGAGGAUUGGGCUUCUUUCUCCAUGCCAAGUCCUGUUUUGUGUGAUAGAGUUCCUGGCCUUUGGUCGGCUCUCACGAGACUGGGCCGAUCAUCUCCGAGAAGAUCGAGAGGAGACGGACUUGGACGAGCGAACAAAGUCUUUGCGAAUGAAAAAGGCCAAUGGGAUGCCUGGUUGGGGAAGCCCUUGAAAUGUGCCUUACUUUCUCUGCUUGGAGGAAAUAAUGUUCCAAGGCCAUUCCCUUAUCGUCUCCUUGUUGGUUGUAUGGUUGGUUGGGAAUGUCGAGCAUGGAGGAAGGGCGGGAAGGAGGAUCGCCAGGCCGCAACCAGGUCCCUCUGUCAAUAGUGGACGUGGUUGGUUUGGUAGGCUAAGGGGGUUUUCAGGCGCCCUGAGGCUCCCUGAAGCUCCCUAAGGCUCCUGCGGCGCCAACGAAGAAAAAGAAGGAGAGAAAGGCUGGCCCAAUGUUGGUUGACUGUGUGGCCAUCCCACUGAAAUGAACUUCAAGAAGGCUGCAGGCUCACGAGCAUGACUAAGGCCUGGAUCUUGUACUACUGGAACUGGGACUAUGGAAGGGCGAGAAGGAAGUGAAUGAAAGGCCAUGCAAGCAUGAGCUAAAGGAAAGAAAGGACUGCGGUAAUUCGACUUGAUCUUGGAUGACUUAGAAAUUCCCUCACCAAUGAGACUGUCUGCAGACUGGAAAUUGUCCUUUGGUCCAAGGGAUUACGAUAGGCGUUUCCAUUCAAAGUCGUAGCUAUCAUAGGUGGGCUUUCAAUCGCUGAACUUUAUUCGUUAACAAAAAAACUCACUAAGGUAUUUUCUUCAUAAACUUUAGUUGCGACUCGUGGUCGUGUCAAAAGUGUGCAAAUGACUGUUGAAAAAUAAAUAAUUCUAUACAAGA